UAGGUGACAAGCGUUGUCCGGAUUUACUGGGUGUAAAGGGCGCGUAGGCGGGGGCUUAAGUCAGUUGUGAAAGUUUGCGGCUCAACCGUAAAAUUGCAGUUGAUACUGGGUCCCUUGAGUGCGGCAGAGGCAGGCGGAAUUCGUGGUGUAGCGGUGAAAUGCUUAGAUAUCACGAAGAACUCCGAUCGCGAAGGCAGCUUGCCGGACCGUAACUGACGCUGAUGCUCGAAAGUGCGGGUAUCAA
rnacentral:rRNA from 1 species